rnacentral:tRNA from 1 species
GCUGAAAUAGCUCAGUUGGGAGAGUGUUAGACUGAAGAUCUAAAGGUCCCUGGUUAGAGGUCCAGGGUUUGGUA